UACGUAGGCAGCGAGCGUUGUUCGGAGUUACUGGGCGUAAAGGGUGUGUAGGCGGUUGUUUAAGUUUGGUGUGAAAUCUCCCGGCUCAACUGGGGAGGGUGCGCCGAAUACUGAAUGACUUCGAGUGCGGGAGAGGUGAGUGGAAUUCCUGGUGUAGCGGUGAAAUGCGUAGAUAUCAGGAGGAACACCGGUGGUGUAGACGGCUCACUGGACCGUAACUGACGCUGAGACACGAAAGCGUGGGUAGCAAACAGG
rnacentral:rRNA from 1 species